UUGACAUUUCUGUAGAUCCAAGGCCCUUAUUUUAAUACAAAAAACAUAAGCACAGUGUGGGUAGCUCACCUACUUGAUGGGACCACCUGUAAGGUGAGAGGGGACUUCAGUCUUCAUGGUCAUUCAAUUCUUAGCCUUG
rnacentral:sRNA from 1 species